rnacentral:tRNA from 1 species
GGACUCAAAGCUCUACGGACGAGCGGUCGCCUCGUAAGCGACGGGUUGUGGGUUCGACUCCCGCUGGGUCCU